rnacentral:rRNA from 1 species
AGCGGGAAAAGCUCAAAUUUGAAAUCUGGCAGUCUCUGGCUGUCCGAGUUGUAAUCUAGAGAAGUGUUACCCGCGCUGGWCCGUGUACAAGUCUCCUGGAAUGGGGCGUCAUAGAGGGUGAGAAUCCCGUCUCUGACACGGACUACCAGGGCUUUGUGGUAUGCUCUCGAAGAGUCGAGUUGUUUGGGAAUGCAGCUCAAAAUGGGUGGUAAAUUCCAUCUAAAGCUAAAUAUUGGCGAGAGACCGAUAGCGAACAAGUACCGUGAGGGAAAGAUGAAAAGAACUUUGGAAAGAGAGUUAAACAGUACGUGAAAUUGCUGAAAGGGAAACGCUUGAAGUCAGUCACGUUGGCCAGGGAUCAGCCUUGCAUUGCAUGGUGUACUUCCUGGUUGAUGGGUCAGCAUCAAUUUUGACCAUUGGAAAAAGGCUUGGGGAAUGUGGCAGCUCCGGCUGUGUUAUAGCCCCUUGUCAUAUACAAUGGUUGGGAUUGAGGAACUCAGCACGCCGCAAGGCCGGGUUUCGACCACGUUCGUGCUUAGGAUGCUGGCAUAAUGGCUUUAAGCGACCCGUCUUGAAACACGGACCAAGGAGUCUAACAUGCCUGCGAGUAUUUGGGUGGAAAACCCAAGUGCGUAAUGAAAGUGAAAGUUGAGAUCCCUGUCGUGGGGAGCAUCGACGCCCGGACCAGAACUUUUGGGACGGAUCCGCGGUAGAGCAUGUAUGUUGGGACCCGAAAGAUGGUGAACUAUGCCUGAAUAGGGUGAAGCCAGAGGAAACUCUGGUGGAGGCUCGUAGCGAUUCUGACG